rnacentral:rRNA from 1 species
UACGAAGGUCCCAAGCGUUAUCCGGAUUUAUUGGGUUUAAAGGGUGCGUAGGCGGGCUAUUAAGUCAGUGGUGAAAGCCCCAAGCUUAACUUGGGAACUGCCAUUGAUACUGGUGGUCUUGAGUACAUUUGAGGUGGGCGGAAUGUGUCAUGUAGCGGUGAAAUGCUUAGAUAUGACACAGAACACCGAUUGCGAAGGCAGCUCACUAAACUGUAACUGACGCUGAGGCACGAAAGCGUGGGGAGCAAACAGG